rnacentral:rRNA from 1 species
GACGAACGCUGGCGGCGUGCUUAACACAUGCAAGUCGAACGAAGUGGCGAACGGGUGAGUAACGCGUAAUCAACCUGCCCUUCAGAGGGGGACAACAGUUGGAAACGACUGCUAAUACCCCAUAGUGAAGGGGGGGAUUGAGUCUGAUUAGCUAGUUGGGGGGGUAACGGCCCACCAAGACGAUGAUCAGUAGCCGGUCUGAGAGGAUGUACGGCCACAUUGGGACUGAGACACGGCCCAGACUCCUACGGGAGGCAGCAGUGGGGAAUCUUCCGCAAUGGACGAAAGUCUGACGGAGCAACGCCGCGUGAGUGAUGACGGCCUUCGGGUUGUAAAGCUCUGUUAAUCGGGACGCGGUACCGGAAUAGAAAGCCACGGCUAACUACGUGCCAGCCGCCGCGGUAAUAC